AUGCACGCUGGCGGCGUGCCUCAUCCAUGCAAGUCGCGCGAACAGACGAGGAGCUUGCUCCUCUGACGUUAGCGGCGGACGGGUGAGUAACACGUGGAUAACCUACCUAUAAGACUGGGAUAACUUCGGGAAACCGGAGCUAAUAACGGAUAAUAUAUUGAACCGCAUGGUUCAAUAGUGAAAGACGGUUUUGCUGUCACUUAUAGAUGGAUCCGCGCCGCAUUAGCUAGUUGGUAAGGUAACGGCUUACCAAGGCGACGAUGCGUAGCCGACCUGAGAGGGUGAUCGGCCACACUGGAACUGAGACACGGUCCAGACUCCUACGGGAGGCAGCAGUAGGGAAUCUUCCGCAAUGGGCGAAAGCCUGACGGAGCAACGCCGCGUGAGUGAUGAAGGUCUUCGGAUCGUAAAACUCUGUUAUUAGGGAAGAACAAAUGUGUAAGUAACUAUGCACGUCUUGACGGUACCUAAUCAGAAAGCCACGGCUAACUACGUG
rnacentral:rRNA from 1 species